CUCUACUCCCCUUCCUGACACCCCUUCCCUGGCCCAUGUAGGUGUGGCAACUACCGUAGGGCAACUGUCUUAGAGACAGUCCUCAGAGAAGCUGCAGGAAAGGCCGGAGCCAAGGCCUGGAGGUGGAAGGGGGGAUGCAGACCCUCCCUGGUAACAAGAGAAGGGCAAACUCCAACCGCAGGGAGAUGAUGCCACUUGUGGGCUCUCAGAUUGGAGGGAAACGAGCUGAGUGACGGGGCCUCGCGCACAGCUGGGUGGAGGGGGAGACCGUGCGUGCGGAGGUGGAGGGGAGGGUCCUGCUGAACUCCCCACCAGCCCCUGGGAGGGGGGUUCGGAGGGCGAGCUCGGUGGUGACGCGGGGCCCUCACGUGACCGCGAGCUGCAGAGCGACGCAGCCUUCGGUGCAGGCGUCACUCCUGUCUGGGAACCAGCUCCCCGCUGCCCUGCGCACGGCGGGCUGGCAUCGGGCCCCGCGGCAAGCGGAGCAGUGAUUGUGGGGCAGUGUUUGUGGCGAGGCGAGGGAAGAAGAAGAGCAAACUGCACAGGAUCUGCGGAGGUCUUCUCAUAG
rnacentral:lncRNA from 1 species